AUUGAACGCUGGCGGCAGGCCUAACACAUGCAAGUCGAGCGGAGCGGCGGACGGGUGAGUAAUGCCUAGGAAUCUGCCUGGUAGUGGGGGAUAACGUCCGGUAACGGGCGCUAAUACCGCAUACUAUCAGAUGAGCCUAGGUCGGAUUAGCUAGUUGGUGGGGUAAAGGCCUACCAAGGCGACGCUCCGCAACUGGUCUGAGAGGAUGGUCAGUAACGCUGGAACUGAGACACGUUCCAAACUCCGACGGGAGGCAGCAGUGGGGAAGAUUGGACAAUGGGCGAAAGCCUGAUCCGGCCAUGCCGCGUGUGUGAAGAAGGUCUUCGGAUUGUAAAGCACUUUAAGUUGGGAGGCGUUACCAACAGAAUAAGCACCGGCUAACUUCGUGCCAGCAGCCGCGGUAAUUA
rnacentral:rRNA from 1 species